GAUGAACGCUGGCGGCGUGCCUAAUACAUGCAAGUCGAGCGAACGGACGAGAAGCUUGCUUCUCUGAUGUUAGCGGCGGACGGGUGAGUAACACGUGGAUAACCUACCUAUAAGACUGGGAUAACUUCGGGAAACCGGAGCUAAUACCGGAUAAUAUUUUGAACCGCAUGGUUCAAAAGUGAAAGACGGUCUUGCUGUCACUUAUAGAUGGAUCCGCGCUGCAUUAGCUAGUUGGUAAGGUAACGGCUUACCAAGGCAACGAUGCAUAGCCGACCUGAGAGGGUGAUCGGCCACACUGGAACUGAGACACGGUCCAGACUCCUACGGGAGGCAGCAGUAGGGAAUCUUCCGCAAUGGGCGAAAGCCUGACGGAGCAACGCCGCGUGAGUGAUGAAGGUCUUCGGAUCGUAAAACUCUGUUAUUAGGGAAGAACAUAUGUGUAAGUAACUGUGCACAUCUUGACGGUACCUAAUCAGAAAGCCACGGCUAACUACGUGCCAGCAGCCGCGGUAAUACGUAGGUGGCAAGCGUUAUCCGGAAUUAUUGGGCGUAAAGCGCGCGUAGGCGGUUUUUUAAGUCUGAUGUGAAAGCCCACGGCUCAACCGUGGAGGGUCAUUGGAAACUGGAAAACUUGAGUGCAGAAGAGGAAAGUGGAAUUCCAUGUGUAGCGGUGAAAUGCGCAGAGAUAUGGAGGAACACCAGUGGCGAAGGCGACUUUCUGGUCUGUAACUGACGCUGAUGUGCGAAAGCGUGGGGAUCAAACAGGAUUAGAUACCCUGGUAGUCCACGCCGUAAACGAUGAGUGCUAAGUGUUAGGGGGUUUCCGCCCCUUAGUGCUGCAGCUAACGCAUUAAGCACUCCGCCAGGGGAGUACGACCGCAAGGUUGAAACUCAAAGGAAUUGACGGGGACCCGCACAAGCGGUGGAGCAUGUGGUUUAAUUCGAAGCAACGCGAAGAACCUUACCAAAUCUUGACAUCCUUUGACAACUCUAGAGAUAGAGCCUUCCCCUUCGGGGGGCAAAGUGACAGGUGGUGCAUGGUUGUCGUCAGCUCGUGUCGUGAGAUGUUGGGUUAAGUCCCGCAACGAGCGCAACCCUUAAGCUUAGUUGCCAUCAUUAAGUUGGGCACUCUAAGUUGACUGCCGGUGACAAACCGGAGGAAGGUGGGGAUGACGUCAAAUCAUCAUGCCCCUUAUGAUUUGGGCUACACACGUGCUACAAUGGACAAUACAAAGGGCAGCGAAACCGCGAGGUCAGGCAAAUCCCAUAAAGUUGUUCUCAGUUCGGAUUGUGGUCUGCAACUCGACUACAUGAAGCUGGAAUCGCUAGUAAUCGUAGAUCAGCAUGCUACGGUGAAUACGUUCCCGGGUCU
rnacentral:rRNA from 1 species